ACCUAGACAUUUGGGUGAUGUGGCAAGCAAUAAAUGAAAAAAGAAAUAGUCCAUAUCAUAAUAUAAUAUGGUACCAGUAACAUAACAUUUCCUGAGGCACCAUUUGUCUUGCAAAGCAACAGAUGGAUGCACUGUGAUAUCAUGUUUAUAAUACCAUGCAUGAAGGUAACAAUAUAGAGUAGCAUCGCAUGUUACUGUAUGUUACUGUUACAUUUAUGGUACUCCUCUGACCAGUCUAAAGAGUAAAAAAAAAACUUUAAAGUGACGACACACUACUCUGUGUAGAAUUCUGCGGGUUAACUAGUACACCGCAAAAUACGUGUACAACCGUACGUAUCC
rnacentral:lncRNA from 1 species